GAAUGCUAAAAGAAUGGAAAUUUAAAAAAAAACUUUUUUAAAAAUAAAAAUUGAAUUUUUUUUAAUUUGUGCAAAAACAAUUAUAUUUAUUAAAGACAAGAAGACCCUAAGAAUUUAAGAUUUUACAAUUAAAAAGUUUUUUUUUAAAAUCUUGAUUGGGGCGAUCAAAAAAUAUUAAUAACUUUUUAAAAUUUAAAUUGAUCUAUUAUUAAUAAACUAAUGAAUUAAAUACUCUAGGGAUAACAGCGUAAUAAUUUUCGAUAGAUCUUAUUGACAAAAUAGUUUGCGACCUCGAUGUUGGAUUAGGAUUCUUUUUUAAUGAAGAAGUUAAAAAAAGAAGUUUGUUCAACUUUUAAAUUCCUACUUGAUCUGAGUUCAGACCG
rnacentral:rRNA from 1 species